CCUACGGGUGGCAGCAGUGGGGAAUAUUGCACAAUGGGGGAAACCCUGAUGCAGCGACGCCGCGUGAGUGAAGAAGUAUCUCGGUACGUAAAGCUCUAUCAGCAGGGAAGAAAAUGACGGUACCUGACUAAGAAGCCCCGGCUAACUACGUGCCAGCAGCCGCGGUACUAAGUAGGGGGCAAGCGUUAUCCGGAUUUACUGGGUGGAAAGGGAGCGUAGACGGCAGCACAAGUCUGGCGUGAAAGCCCGGGGCUUAACCCCGGAACUGCUUUGGAAACUGUUCGACUGGAGUGCAGGAGGGGUAAGCGGAAUUCCUAGUGUAGCGGUGAAAUGCGUAGAUAUUAGGAGGAACACCGGUGGCGAAGGCGGCUUACUGGACUGUAACUGACGUUGAGGCUCGAAAGCGUGGGGAGCGAACAGGAUUAGAUACCCCUGUAGUC
rnacentral:rRNA from 1 species